rnacentral:rRNA from 1 species
CCUACGGGGGGCAGCAGUGGGGAAUAUUGGACAAUGGGGGGAACCCUGAUCCAGCCAUGCCGCGUGUGUGAAGAAGGCCCUCGGGUUGUAAAGCACUUUCAGUGAGGAAGAACGCCUGGUGGUUAAUACCCAUCAGGAAAGACAUCACUCACAGAAGAAGCACCGGCUAACUCCGUGCCAGCAGCCGCGGUAAUACGGAGGGUGCGAGCGUUAAUCGGAAUUACUGGGCGUAAAGCGCGCGUAGGUGGCUUGAUAAGCCGGUUGUGAAAGCCCCGGGCUCAACCUGGGAACGGCAUCCGGAACUGUCCAGCUAGAGUGCAGGAGAGGAAGGUAGAAUUCCCGGUGUAGCGGUGAAAUGCGUAGAGAUCGGGAGGAAUACCAGUGGCGAAGGCGGCCUUCUGGACUGACACUGACACUGAGGUGCGAAAGCGUGGGUAGCAAACAGGAUUAGAUACCCGAGUAGUC